GACGAACGCUGGCGGCGUGCUUAACACAUGCAAGUCGAACGGUGAUGCUCCAUCUUGCUGGCGUGGAUCAGUGGCGAACGGGUGAGUAACACGUGAGCAACCUGCCCCAGACUCGAGAAGAUGCCCUGGAAACGGCGUCUAAUACUGGAUACGAAACUGGCCCCCAUGGGCAUGGUUUGCAACUGUUUUCGGUUUUGGAUGGGCUGGUGGCGUCUCAGCCUGUUGGUGAGAUAUUGGCUAACCAAGGAGACGACGGCUAGCCGGCCUGGGAGGGGGACCGGCAACAAUGGGAGUGAGGAAAGGCCGAGACUCCUACGGGAGGCAGCAGUGGGGAAUAUUGCACAAUGGGCGAAAGCAUGAUGCAGCGACGCCGCGUGAGGGAUGACGGCCUUCGGGUUGUAAACCUCUUUCAGCAGGGAAGAAGAGAAAGUGACGGUACCUGAAGAAGAAGCACCGGCUAACUACGUG
rnacentral:rRNA from 1 species